rnacentral:lncRNA from 1 species
AUUAAACCCUAUUUUGCAGGCAGAUGAGGCCUGUGGGGUAGGUCUGCCAGUCCCUUAACUAGCCUUAACUCUACCCAGACCCACUCAGUGCACACACAUGUAUGUCUUCCAGGAUUAUGCCAGUGAAGGCCUUCGCACCCUAAUGGUAGCCUACCGAGAGUUGGAUGAAGCAUUCUUCCAGGACUGGAGCAGAAGGCACAGUGAAGCCUGCUUGUCUUUGGAGAACCGGGAAAGCAGAUUAUCAAAUGUCUAUGAAGAAGUUGAAAAAGACUUGAUGCUGUUAGGGGCCACAGCCAUAGAAGACAAGCUACAAGAUGGAGUACCUGAGACAAUCAUCACCCUGAACAAAGCCAAAAUUAAACUAUGGGUUUUAACUGGAGAUAAGCAAGAGACUGCUGUGAAUGUUGCCUACUCCUGUAAGAUAUUUGACGAUGAAAUGGAUGAAGUGUUCAUUGUGGAAGGCAGGGAUGAUGAGACUGUUUGGAAAGAACUCAGGUAUAGAUGGGAGAUUGGCCAUAGCCAAUCUGGACCCAAAAGUUCCUAUUCAUCUCUUCCCCUAGUGUGGGUCCCACACCACCAGAAGGAACAGAGAAGACAUGGAGGUGGGAAAAACAAAAACCUAAAAUAUUUGAAAAAUUUUUGUGAGAAGCAUUUGGGCUAAAUAGGGCUGGAGUGUGGGGAUGGAGAAGUGCAGCAUGUGAAUGGUCAGGGACCUAUGGCAGUGGCAGGUCUUGAAAGGCUGUCACGUCUGAGGUCUUCGCUGGUGCUUUGUAGAGUUCCUCUAGCCACUUUGCCCACUUUCAUCUGGGGACACAUUUUCC